GGCCGGAUAAGGCGUUCACGCCGCAUCCGGCAGUUGGCGCACAAUGCCUGAUGCGACGCUUGUCGCGUCUUAUCAUGCC
rfam:Escherichia coli str. K-12 substr. MG1655, complete genome.